AUGCAUAUGAACCAAAAGCUCUCUGGGGUCCCAAAAGUUCGAGAAUUCUUGUGCACUCCCGCGGGGACGCAGGGACAGGUGCAAUUGUGCACAGCAGAGCGAGCGGCUGCCCAGUGCAGGGUCCUGCCUCAGCCACGUGACCUUCAGCUGUUAGGUAAAUGCCCUCUGCCUUGGGUACACCCCUGGAGUGUGGGGGUGACAUUCGGAGUGCCCAGGGCUGUGGGGAGGAUGACAUCUGAAUCUGGAAAGCACUUAGAGACCAAGGUGCCCCAUACACUCACUAUGACCAAUAUUUUCAUGAUACAGUCACUGAGACGGUCCACUGGCAAAGAGACAGAGGGUCCAGGGCUGACCCCAGUCUCCCCACAAUAUACCCCCUUAACCUGGUCCGAGCGGGUGUCCAUCCCCUGCAACCCAAAGACACAGGCAGAUGGAACGAGACAGAAGAGCAUCUGUCCAGCAAGAAUCCUUCCAGACUCAGCCCAGAAACCCCUGCCGGUCACUCAGCUGGGAACCCGACCGACGUCCCGGAGGCCAGGCCUGAGAGCAGCCCGCAGGCUGGCCCGAGUCAGAAAACCUCUGAGUGAGGCCAAGAAAGCACAGCCCGAGGCUGACCAGCUCGUGGCUUUGUGGAGCUGCCCGUGUGCGCAGGAGGGAAAGUCCGGAGCCACCAGGGAUGGCCAGUUCUGUACCCGUGAUGCCGUCCAGCCAACACAAUCUUUUCAACAAACAACACCCCACCCUGGGGUGACGUCACAUCCAGAGCCCCUUCAGGACUCUGAGACCCAGGUCCUUUCCUGGGGCCUGGUCUGCCUGGGGCCCUGCUGGAAGCAGGGUCAGAUGCCUAUAGGCCAGGCCCCCUAUGGUGGGAGCACAAAACACCAUGGAAAUCAGGAAGAAGACUGGGGGGGGGGGGGGUGCACGAAAAGGCCUGAGCAGUGGCAGCUGUGCUUCCUCUGUGUUCUUAGGGGUCCAAGUGAGACAGCAGACAGUCCCCUCUGCCCCCACAGGGCGUUUCUGCCCCCCAGGGUCCCAGGCUGGCCUUCAGCUCUGCUCAGGAUGUGUGACCCUCUCCCUGGGCCCAGGCCCUCCAGGACCCACCAGGCAGCUGCAUCCUGCCCUUCUGUGAGCGCCCCGGAAAGCACCUGGUCCUAG
rnacentral:lncRNA from 1 species